GAUGAAGAACGCAGCGAAAUGCGAUACGUAAUGUGAAUUGCAGAAUUCAGUGAAUCAUCGAGUCUUUGAACGCACAUUGCGCCCCCUGGUAUUCCGAGGGGCAUGCCUGUCCGAGCGUCAUUGCUGCCCUCAAGCACGGCUUGUGUGUUGGGCCUCCGUCCUCCUCCCGGGGGACGGGCCCGAAAGGCAGCGGCGGCACCGCGUCCGGUCCUCGAGCGUAUGGGGCUUCGUCACCCGCUCUUGUAGGCCCGGCCGGCGCUUGCCGACACAUCAAUCUUUUUUCCAGGUUGACCUCGGAUCAGGUAGGGAUACCCGCUGAACUUAAGCAUAUCAAUAAGCGGAGGA
rnacentral:misc_RNA from 1 species